rnacentral:rRNA from 1 species
AUUGAACGCUGGCGGCAGGCCUAACACAUGCAAGUCGAGCGGAUGAAGGGAGCUUGCUCCUGGAUUCAGCGGCGGACGGGUGAGUAAUGCCUAGGAAUCUGCCUGGUAGUGGGGGAUAACGUCCGGAAACGGGCGCUAAUACCGCAUACGUCCUGAGGGAGAAAGUGGGGGAUCUUCGGACCUCACGCUAUCAGAUGAGCCUAGGUCGGAUUAGCUAGUUGGUGGGGUAAAGGCCUACCAAGGCGACGAUCCGUAACUGGUCUGAGAGGAUGAUCAGUCACACUGGAACUGAGACACGGUCCAGACUCCUACGGGAGGCAGCAGUGGGGAAUAUUGGACAAUGGGCGAAGGCCUGAUCCAGCCAUGCCGCGUGUGUGAAGAAGGUCUUCGGAUUGUAAAGCACUUUAAGUUGGGAGGAAGGGCAGUAAGUUAAUACCUUGCUGUUUUGACGGUACCAACAGAAUAAGCACCGGCUAACUUCGUG